rnacentral:rRNA from 1 species
GUAAUCUUGUGUAAACUCUGUCGUGCUGGGGAUAGAGCAUUGCAAUUAUUGCUCUUCAACGAGGAAUCCCUAGUAAGCGCAAGUCAUCAGCUUGCGUUGAUUACGUCCCUGCCCUUUGUACACACCGCCCGUCGCUACUACCGAUUGAAUGGUUCAGUGAGGCUUUCGGACUGGCCCAGGGAGGUCGGCAACGACCACCCAGGGCCGGAAAGUUAUCCAAACUCGAUCAUUUAGAGGAAGUAAAAGUCGUAACAAGGUCUCCGUUGGUGAACCAGCGGAGGGAUCAUU